CAACUACUGUGUUGAAGGAGUAACAUAAAUUCCACACUAACACUGUUUGAAUCCUGCAAAGUCCAAAUCUAAGAGAGAUAUCCAGGAACUCCUUACUGUGACCGAACAGCACCAUCACCUCUUGUAGCCACAAAAUGAAGAUGCUGUGACCACAGCGCAGCUACGCAGCAGCAAGACCAAAGUUGUACCUUAAACCUAUAUACAUAGAAAAGCAACAGUAACUAGAGAUACAAACCCAAUGGUUUCAUCAGCUCCUACAUAAUGUGUGUGCACAGGAACUGUCUAGCUUCCUUUAAGUUCUUUCAGCCACAUCCAAUAAAGGAAGAAAAUUAGGUACUUAGAGAAACAGCUGCUCAUGUAUCAAGGACUCCUUUCCAUAAACCAGGCUGGACAGUUCCCCGACACAUGCCAUCUUUGACAGACCAAUCCCAAAAGCACGGUUACCAAAACAGGAGCAUGUUAUACCUCUAUUAGAUUACUAUUUUUUUUUUUUUAAAUAUCUGUAUGUUCAUUAACACCAGAUUACUAGGUACUCACACAAAGCAGGGGCCCACUGGGGUACUGACGAAAUUGUACGUUCAGGGUUAACAAUUCAACACAGAAAUCAUUCCUGGCUCCUUCACAGAUUUCAGCAGCCAAAGCAGAUCAGAUUAGUUCUGCUCUGCCAACAGGAGUAAUUAUCACUAUAUGCAGUAAAAAAUAGCUGGAAGGAUUUCUAAGUGAAUGAAGUACAGACCCACUGAGGAAGUCUUAAUUCAACAUCUAUUAAUGUCUUUUCCUAAGCCAGCAAGAAGGAAAAGAGCAAUACAGAGUCAAGAAUAGAAGUUUUAACAUUUCUGUUGUUCCUAUGCAUGCCACUUUUCUUGUGAAGAUCUUUAAAUCGGAGCCUUACUGAGGGUAGGCAAUGCAAAAGGACCAUAAGGAAUUUAAAGACCAAGGCAAUGCGCAAGGAUGAGUGCUCCUAUUUUCAGUAAGCAAUGAAAGCUACAAGGCUGUCUCCAGAGACUUUUUUGGUUUUGUGUCAAAACACAAGUAAGCAUUAUUCUUUUUCUCACUCUUAGAUAAAACA